rnacentral:rRNA from 1 species
UACGAGAGGCCCAAACGUUAUUCGGAUUUACUGGGCUUAAAGAGUUCGCAGGCGGCUUGGAAAGUGGGGUGUGAAAGCCCUCGGCUCAACCGAGGAAUUGCGCUCCAAACUGCCGAGCUUGAGGAAGCUAGAGGUGAGCAGAACUGAUGGUGGAGCGGUGAAAUGCGUUGAUAUCAUCAGGAAUACCGGAGGCGAAGGCGGCUCACUGGGACUUUUCUGACGCUGAGGAACGAAAGCUAGGGGAGCAAACGGG